CUCUUCUCUCCAGGACUAGCACAUUACCGAUUUUAAUCAGAUGUGAGGAGUCACUUGAAGGGAGGGAAGGGACAAAUCGGAAAGAGCUAGUGAACUGUGCUGUUGCUUUUGCAUCAGAAGGGUAAUGGCCAGAAGCCAAAUCAAUUAUUGCUGAUCUUCUGGAUUUGGGAAAGGAUGCCGCUGGACCAGAUCAGAUGGCCCGAGGAGGAGGGAAGCAGGGUUCAGCAGUCAGCGGCCACUCACCUGCCUUUACCGUCUGUCUGCUGCGGUCCUGGGCAGGUGACCCACGACACAGUGGGUGUGAAGAAACAAAUGAUCCUGAGCAGACAGAUGAAGAAGGGCAUCCCAUCCCCACUGCUUUAUUAGAAGGCAGAAAUGCUAACGUGCAAUGUGCUUCCAUUUUCUAGCAUCUAUAAUUGAUUGUAUAUCACCGUUUGGACUCCUUGGGAUAUUUUUGUCGGUGUCUAUAUAAAACAGAAAAACAUCACUCACAAGGACCACAGGUUUGAAGCCUGAGCCUGCUCUGUUUCUCUUGUUCCCUGACAGAGGAGGAGGGAAAAUCCUUUGCCCUUCUGUAGUGCUGCUAACUACAGAAUGUAAUUAUAUAUAAUAAUGUAAAAAAUGCCUUUGUAUCUCACCUUAAACUGUAAAGGAUUCAAAAUAUGGCUUUCAAAUAUCUAUACAACACUUUAGGAAACAAAGGUGAAAUAAGUGAGU
rnacentral:lncRNA from 1 species